rnacentral:lncRNA from 10 species
CAGCCCUCCAAAAGGCACAAUGUCUUCCAUCAGGCAAAAGUGACACCACAACAUUCAUUAUAGGAAGUAAGAGACAUUCAUCACUGGAAUAUUUUAGCAAAUGAAUCACAACAGACUGAUAGCAUAACUCAUGUUCUAAGGCCAAGAACAAGAAUUGCAUAGUUUAUUUUAAGACAGCAGAAGAGUAAAAAACAGAUUGAAAAACAUAUGAUACCCUCUCCAGCUCAGAGCUCUACAAACAGCAGUGGCGUUUGCAAAGUUCUAUGUAUCUUCUCAAAUGUGGUUUCAGUUUUAAUGUGUGUUGACAUCUUUGUGUGCAGAACUAACUGGAGGAACAACAGUUUGUGCUUUUUUUCCCUUCUUGCUACAAGGGUGAGAACAGGGAAAGAACCAAACGAUCUGUGUUUACUUUGAGCAGCCAUACACCAUGCAUGGACACUAAGCUUCUUACUGCUUCUGAUUAGUGACCUCAAUUGAGACUCAUUGCUCAUUGCAAAGACUGCUAAUGGAUUGUUUGAGCCUGAAUGUGUUAGGAUGGAAUAUUUCUUCUUCUCAGAUUCAAGAGCCCUGAAAACCCUGUUCAUUGUUGCUAGGAGAUGGGUGGCUAUGGCAACAGUGUGGGUCAGAGCCAGAUGGAAUGCCUAAAGCAUAAUCAGGUUUAGGCUUUUUUUUGAUCUCCAAAUGACUCCAUGGCAGUCCUGAGCACGGAAGCCCCAAAUCACUGCCUCUUCAGCUUGUUUCAAAAGGCAUUGGAGAAGUAAAUAUUUGGUGAAUAUGUCCUUAUCAUUCAACACAAGCUCUCUACUGUGGUUUUAAAACACUCUGCCAUUUCUUUCAUCUUAAAACUAGCCAGGGGAGAGGAAGAAGUUGGAAGUGAUCACUAGAAAUUGAACAUCAUUUUUUGAAAAAUGUCAAGCACUUGUUUUGAGUGAGACUCUGACUGGACAGAUAAAGGAAGCAAACAACCUGGAAGUGGCAUCCUUAAG